rnacentral:SRP_RNA from 10 species
ACUGGGCAUGGUGGUGUAUGCCUGUAGUCCCAGCUAUUCAGGAGGCUGAUGGGGGAGGAUCGCUUGAGCUCAGGAGUUCUGGGCUGUAGUGUGCUAUGCCAAUCGGGUGUCCACGCUAAGUUCAGCAUCAAUAUAGUGACCUCCUGGGGGUGGGGGACCACCAGAUUGUCUAGGAAAGGGUGAAUUGGCCCAGAUUGGAACUGGAGCAGGUCAAAACUCCUAUGCUGAUCAAUAGUGGGAUCGUACUUGGGCAUAGCCACUGCAUGCCAGCCUGGGCAACAUGGUGAGGGUCCAUC